rnacentral:rRNA from 1 species
GUGGAUUAGAUACCCUAGUAGUCCACGCCGUAAACGAUGAUAACUAGCUGUCCGGGCACUUGGUGUUUGGGUGGCGCAGCUAACGCAUUAAGUUAUCCGCCUGGGGAGUACGGUCGCAAGAUUAAAACUCAAAGGAAUUGACGGGGGCCUGCACAAGCGGUGGAGCAUGUGGUUUAAUUCGAAGCAACGCGCAGAACCUUACCAGCGUUUGACAUCCUACGCUACCCAGAGAGAUUUGGGGUUCCCUUCGGGGACGUAGAGACAGGUGCUGCAUGGCCGUCGCCAGCU